AGUGAACGCUGGCGGUAGGCCUAACACAUGCAAGUCGAACGGCAGCACAGUAAGAUCUUGCUCUUACGGGUGGCGAGUGGCGGACGGGUGAGGCAUACAUCGGAAUCUACUUUUUCUUGGGUGAUAACGUAGGGCAACUUACGCUAAUACCUCAUACGACCUACGGCUGAAAGCAGGGGAUCUUCGGACCUUGCGCGAUUGAAUUAGCCGAUGUCGGAUUAGCUAGUUGGCGGGGUAAAGGCCCACCAAGGCGACGAUCCGUAGCUGGUCUGAGAGGAUGAUCAGCCACACUGGAACUGAGACACGGUCCAGACUCCUACGGGAGGCAGCAGUGGGGAAUAUUGGACAAUGGGCGCAAGCCUGAUCCAGCCAUACCGCGUGGGUGAAGAAGGCCUUCGGGUUGUAAAGCCCUGUUGUUGGGAAAGAAAAGAAGCAGGUUAAUACCCCGCUGUUCUGACGGUACCUAAAGAAUAAGCACCGGCUAACUUCGUG
rnacentral:rRNA from 1 species